CAGGUUCCCUUUCAGGUGGCUUCAACCUGGAGCACACAAAACCUGCAGCAGGGGUGUGGAGAUUGUGCCACGUUGCCACUAAAUAGAGACAGACAGACAGACAGACACAAGCAGAGAGCCUCAGAAAAUUCUUGAGAUCAUUCUAUCUACAUAUCCUUACACCUACAUAUCUGCUCCUAGCCUGAUCCCAAACUAUCUCCAGGCUUGAUGGGGCUGUGAGCAACCUGGCCUGAUGGAAUAUCCCAGCCCAUGGCAUGGGGGCUACAACCAGAUCUUUCAGUUCCCUUCUAAGGACCAGUCUAUGAUUCUGUCAGACCUUUGGGUCAGAUUCUGCCCGAUUCUAUCAGCUACAUCCAAGUUUCAGCUGAAGAAAAGGCACAACCAUGGUUUUAAUAUUUAUUAGAGCACUAGAGAGUGCGCUCAGAAAAAAGACAGCAAUAGACUGGAGCAGAGUUCAAGCCUCUCAAAAUACAACCAAAUCCAACUGCUCAGCACACUGUUGCAGAAAGCCAAGCUCCUCUUUACAGUGUUUGACUUUAUUUAAAAAUGCAAAUGGCUGCAGCCCCCCAUCCAUCUGAUCUGCCAGAGAAGAGGAGUUUGAGGAGGUACAGCAGAGCACACAAAAGUGAUUUCAGUACAUCUUGCUAUGCUGCAGCAGAAAACUCCAAAAUGAAGCCUGAAGACUUCAUGUAUCAAUGAGCACUGAUUUUGCCUUUCACUGAAGGUACAGAAGAAGCAAUAAACACUUCUGUAAACCCU